rnacentral:rRNA from 1 species
UACGAAGGGGGCUAGCGUUGUUCGGAAUUACUGGGCGUAAAGCGCGCGCAGGCGGUUCUCCAAGUCAGUGGUGAAAGCCCGGAGCUCAACUCCGGAACAGCCAUUGAAACUGUUGAACUUGAGGACGAGAGAGGUGAGUGGAAUUCCCAGUGUAGAGGUGAAAUUCGUAGAUAUUGGGAAGAACACCAGUGGCGAAGGCGGCUCACUGGCUCGUAUCUGACGCUCAGGCGCGAUAGCGUGGGGAUCAAACAGG